rnacentral:rRNA from 1 species
UAUUAUGAGAGUUUGAUCCUGGCUCAGGACGAACGCUGGCGGCGUGCCUAAUACAUGCAAGUCGAACGCUUCUUUCCUCCCGAGUGCUUGCACUCAAUUGGAAAGAGGAGUGGCGGACGGGUGAGUAACACGUGGGUAACCUACCCAUCAGAGGGGGAUAACACUUGGAAACAGGUGCUAAUACCGCAUAACAGUUUAUGCCGCAUGGCAUAAGAGUGAAAGGCGCUUUCGGGUGUCGCUGAUGGAUGGACCCGCGGUGCAUUAGCUAGUUGGUGAGGUAACGGCUCACCAAGGCCACGAUGCAUAGCCGACCUGAGAGGGUGAUCGGCCACACUGGGACUGAGACACGGCCCAGACUCCUACGGGAGGCAGCAGUAGGGAAUCUUCGGCAAUGGACGAAAGUCUGACCGAGCAACGCCGCGUGAGUGAAGAAGGUUUUCGGAUCGUAAAACUCUGUUGUUAGAGAAGAACAAGGACGUUAGUAACUGAACGUCCCCUGACGGUAUCUAACCAGAAAGCCACGGCUAACUACGUGCCAGCAGCCGCGGUAAUACGUAGGUGGCAAGCGUUGUCCGGAUUUAUUGGGCGUAAAGCGAGCGCAGGCGGUUUCUU